UACGUAGGGUGCGAGCGUUAAUCGGAAUUACUGGGCGUAAAGCGUGCGCAGGCGGUUCGUUGUGUCUGAUGUGAAAGCCCCCGGGCUCAACCUGGGAAUGGCAUUGGAAACUGGCGAGCUAGAGUGUGGCAGAGGGGUGGAAUUCCGCGUGUAGCAGUGAAAUGCGUAGAGAUGUGGAGGAACACCAGUGGCGAAGGCGACUCUUUGGCCUGUAACUGACGCUGAGGCGCGAAAGCGUGGGGGAGCAAACAGG
rnacentral:rRNA from 1 species